UACGGAGGGGGCAAGCGUUGUCCGGAAUUACUGGGCGUAAAGGGCGCGUAGGCGGUCUUGUAAGUCUUGUGUGAAAUCCCUCGGCUUAACUGAGGAACUGCACGGGAUACUGCGAGACUUGAGAUCGGGAGAGGGAAGCGGAAUUCCGGGUGUAGCGGUGAAAUGCGUAGAUAUCCGGAGGAACACCGGUGGCGAAGGCGGCUUCCUGGACCGACACUGACGCUGAGGCGCGAAAGCUAGGGGAGCAAACGGG
rnacentral:rRNA from 1 species